rnacentral:siRNA from 1 species
CAAAAGAUACUUUGUUUGUGCCA